rnacentral:rRNA from 1 species
UACGUAGGGGGCAAGCGUUGUCCGGAUUUAUUGGGCGUAAAGAGCGUGUAGGCGGCCAUACAGGUCAGCUGUGAAAACUCGAGGCUCAACCUCGAGACGUCGGUUGAAACCGUAUGGCUAGAGUCCGGAAGAGGAGAGUGGAAUUCCCGGUGUAGCGGUGAAAUGCGCAGAGAUGUGGAGGAACACCAGUGGCGAAGGCGACUCUUUGGUCUGUAACUGGCGCUGAGGCGGCGAAAAGCGUGGGGAGCAAACAGGG